rnacentral:rRNA from 1 species
CAGCCGCCACGGGAAAACGAAGGGGGCUAGCGUUGUUCGGAAUUACUGGGCGUAAAGCGCACGUAGGCGGAUAUUUAAGUCAGGGGUGAAAUCCCAGAGCUCAACUCUGGAACUGCCUUUGAUACUGGGUAUCUUGAGUAUGGAAGAGGUGAGUGGAAUUCCGAGUGUAGAGGUGAAAUUCGUAGAUGUUCGGAGGAACACCAGUGGCGAAGGCGGCUCACUGGUCCAUUACUGACGCUGAGGCGCGAAAGCCAGGGGAGCGAACGGGAUUAGAUACCCCAGUAGUCCCUGUCUCUUAUAC